UCAGUGGGUGCACGGUUUGGGACGCGGUCGGUCAAACCCAGUUAGUCAAACAAUAAAAGUGAAUCAGGACGGGUCCAGGCUUAAGCUGUCUGGCCGUGCCUCGACUCGGGCUGCUGGCGUCGGCACUUUUUCAUGUCCUGUGCGUCUCACUUUGGGAGUUAUCAGAGCAUGCAGGCAGGGUAGCAGUAGUGGUAGCAGCUCACAGGGGACUGCAGAGGGUCCUGGAUCUGACCUGAUUUGUCAAUUCGAUGACUUCACACAAGCGUCGCCCCUCCAGGGAAUCGUCGGCUCCCCAUGCAAGCAGCGGACUCGCUGUUUCAUGUUUUGUUGGAGGAAAAUUGAGGCGCAUAAUGGAUUUAUCAGGAGUGCAAUUUGACAUCAAAGCGCAACAUCUGAGGAGGAGGCUCUAAUUAUCUGGGACUGUCUCACUAUGGCUCAUCCGGAGCACUUCGAUUGGCUGAAAGAAACCGUCAGUUUGUUUCCAGGUUUGCCAGGGUUUUCCAGCAUGUUUGGGAAGAAGAAGAAACGGCUGGAGAUCUCAGCUCCGUCUAACUUUGAGCACCGGGUCCACACAGGCUUCGACCCGCGGGAGCAGAAGUUCACCGGGCUGCCGCAGCAAUGGCAGAGCCUCCUGGCGGACACUGCCAACCGACCCAAGCCCAUGGUGGACCCCUCGUACAUCACCCCCAUCCAGCUGGCACCCAUGAAGAUAUCUCCCAAGAAAGUCCGGUCAUCCGAAACGCCGUUGCCCAAAACCAUCGUCCGAGGGAACCGGCCACCCAAAGAUGCAUCCAUUAACGGCCUGCUGGAGGAGUUCGACAACAUUUCGGUAACGCGAUCCAACUCCUUGCGUAAAGAGAGUCCACCAGGUCCCCAUCAGGCCGGAAGCAGCUCCAAACCCUCGGGCGGCAGCCAUCCAGCUGCUCCAGAGGAGAACGGAUUCAACCACUACUACUCCCGCUACUCAUGUGACCUGGACACUUCCAGCAGGGACUUUUCUUUGGAUUCCAGCAAACCAAGUUUCUCCAUAGAUAGUGACUGGGCAGUUGGGAGGCACUAUCGAUUCACCAAACAGAAUGGCCACUCGCACCCCAUCCGCAGCCCCUUCUACCCGGACGCCAUGCCGCAAAAAUCAGACUAUGGCAAGCUUCCCCCGGACUACCACACCUACCUGGAGAGCAAAGGGCGCUCAGCCGAUGAGGUGGCCUCCACGGUGGGGAGCGGAGUGGGCUCCAGCGGCUACUACCGGGCGUCAGUGGGCGGCUCAUCCAGCCAGGACUACCGGGACACUUCAGUCGGGACGCCAUCUCGCGCCUCCCUUCACAGCGAGCAGAUCAACUACCCAGACAGUGAGUGGAGUUACGGUGGCCUACGGGACGAAUACGAAAAGCGACCUAAGAGCUCCUACGUAACCCAGACCAGCCCCACGCCAGCCAUCAGGCAGCGAUCCAGAUCAGGAUCCGGGCUUCAGGAGCCAAACGUCCCCUAUGCAGCCAGCGGGGCAUUCAAGAACCCUCCACAGGCCCAUCCAUACAGCUCCUAUACCUACCCUCGUCUCUCGGAGAGUCUCGCCAACUCACAGACCCUCGGCAAGGGCGACUAUGAGCGUCCGUCUCGUGAUGACAGUCCCCAGGUUACGGGUGGCGACACCUACCCUCGAGGGCCUCUCAAGCUACCUCAGAGCCACAGCAAGCCGCCUGGUUACCCCCCAGUGCACCUACCGUACCCCCCGAUCUUCCACCACUACAAACCCUCGCCCUACCAUCAUCCUCCCUCCCAGCCCAGCCCACCUUACACCCCGCAGGGGGCCUACUCUCAGCCUUCGUCACCCUAUAUCCCUCCAGGAGCUUACCCACCUCCUUCAUGGGGGUCAAGCUCCGACACUCAGCCCUCCAGAGUCUCCCAUGAGCAGUUCAGAGCUGCACUUCAGCUGGUGGUCAACCCAGGCGAUCCUCGGGAAUACCUGGACAGCUUUAUCAAGAUCGGCGAGGGCUCCACGGGGAUCGUGUGCAUCGCCAGCGAGAAACACAGCGGCAAGCAGGUGGCGGUGAAGAAGAUGGACCUGAGGAAACAGCAGAGGAGAGAGCUGCUCUUCAACGAGGUGGUGAUCAUGAGGGACUACCAUCAUGAAAAUGUUGUGGACAUGUACAACAGUUACCUGGUGGGAGAUGAGCUGUGGGUCGUCAUGGAGUUCCUGGAGGGCGGAGCGCUCACCGACAUCGUGACUCAUACCAGGAUGAAUGAGGAGCAGAUCGCCACCGUGUGUCUGUCGGUGUUGAGGGCGUUGUCGUACCUGCACACACAAGGCGUCAUCCACCGCGACAUCAAGAGCGACUCCAUCCUGCUGACCAGCGACGGCAGGAUCAAGCUUUCAGACUUCGGCUUUUGUGCCCAAGUUUCCAAAGAGGUGCCCAAGAGGAAGUCUCUGGUGGGAACGCCCUACUGGAUGGCACCGGAGGUCAUCUCCAGACUUCCGUAUGGCACUGAGGUGGACAUCUGGUCUUUGGGCAUCAUGGUGAUCGAGAUGGUGGAUGGAGAGCCGCCUUACUUUAACGAACCCCCUCUGCAGGCCAUGAGGAGGAUACGAGACAACCUUCCGCCUCGGCUAAAAGAGUCGCACAAGGUGUCGUCGGUGCUUCGGUCCUUCCUGGACUUGAUGCUGGUGAGGGAACCGUCCCAGCGAGCCACGGCCCAGGAGCUCCUCCAGCACCCCUUCCUCAAGCUGUCGGGACCCCCGUCCUGCAUCGUCCCCCUCAUGAGACACUACCGCCAUCGCUGACCGGAACCCGCCCUUCUCUACACUUUAAACAAAACAAGAAAAACCUUCCCACAUACACACACUACUACCAGGGUGGCACCGCCCUCACCCAGCCAAAACACCCACCGCUCGGUGGCGCGCCACUAACACUCACACCUGUAACCGUGAAGUAGAUUAGCUAGAGGAAUAUCUAAGAAACACACUUAAAAAACACACCAACAGAGAAAAGAAGACAAAAAAAUAACCUGACUAUUUUGAAACUGUGAAGUAGAAGAGCGCACCGGUGGAACUCGCUAGACGUCCAGUAGAAACGUGUGGUCUGGCUUCUUCUUUUCUUCCCAGAUUGUGAGGCUCCACGUAGACUUGUAGCUGUCGGCCUUCAGGAGCUUCAGGACGGCGAGCGGCAACCAGCACGCCGCUUCCAGACCAGAGCAGCCGAUGGCAGAACAAUCAGCGAGUGCGGAGAGGGUUUUCCUGACUGUCUGGCUGCUGAGACGAGCUCUCCCACGUCUCACACACUAACAGUGAAAAUGUAUUUUAGAGAAACUUUCAGACUCGCUAUCACCGGGACUGUGCUGCCAUCCUCAUCUCUAUUCGGACCAGGAGAACAGUGUAAUCCUCCUCCCCGCAUCGUUUUUACCCAUCAUUCACUGUGAUAUGUAAAUAUGACUGUGCGAAUGUGAACGUGUGUCAAAGAGCAAAAGUGUGUUUAUCUCUGUACAGCAUCUGAGAGUGUGCGUGUGCGUGUGUUUGUGUGCCGCUGGCUAAUCCUUGACAACGUGUCAAGAUGUGAAUGAGUAACACUUAUCUGUGGCUUGUACAGUGAUAUUGCAUGUUUGUUAUCAGUGAAGCUGGUUUCAAUUAAAAAAAACGCCCAUAAAAACAUUGAAAUGUGUUGCAUGGAUUUUUCCUACAUCGCCCUUUUUUACAGUCUCUGUGUCUCGCAUCAAGCGGGGAUUUUUAUUUAUUAUCUUUUUUUUUCAAACUGUCAGAUUAUUAUUCCCAGAGGAGAUCUUUUCUCAACCAUCAACAGUUUAUUUUCUCUUUGUUGUUUGGGUCUUCCAUAUUCUCGAAAUUCAACAGCUCUCAUUUUCCAACAAUUUCACCCUCCGAACGCCGAAGAGAAAAAGACACAUCCAUGGAUUGGUGUUACCAUUAUAUAUUAGGUUAUUUCUCUUUCUUCCCUCUAAGCCAUUUCCCUCUGAAACACUAUAAUGGGAUAUUGAUUCAGCUCGGACAGAGAAUAGAGCUUCUGCCAGCGGCCCAGUGAAUAAAAAACUCAAGUGCUGGAGCCGGUGGGACUGCAGAGAGAAAGUGAACCCAGUGAAGAGUCUGUCUGAGUGACUAUAAAGGUCUUUAAUAAUUAUACUCUGACACUCAUCUGCUCUCAACAUAAAGCAUCAUGUUAACAGUACAGGUAAUUUGCAGAGAAAUAAAUGUGUAUUUUGUGUUGAAAGAACACAUUAAGUGGAGAGUUUCGAGCAUCAAACACUUAAUUUUUGUCAUUUUGGUGGAUUUUUAUGCAGCAGUUUGUGGUGGAAAUGUCUAAAAAAGGUGACAAUUCAAAUUAUGUAUAUGUAUAUA